rnacentral:lncRNA from 1 species
CUCAUACCAGACUUUAUUAGUAGCUGCAGAAAGCAUGCAUUUUGGACUUUGCUUCAAAUAUUAGUCAUCCUAUAACUAUACUAGCACAUGAACAUGAAAAUUCUAUACUCAUGACACAUCACUUGUUAGAUCAAAAACUCUCGAAACAACUUAAACGUCACUGGUUAAAAUGAUUAUAGUAUUGCCAUUCCAACAUACUACAAACUUAAUGUAACCUUUAAAAAGAAUGAGUCACCUCUCUAUGUAUUAUAUAAAAUGAUCUACAAGACACAUAGAGUAAAAAAGCAACGUGCAGGACAGUGUGUAGAGUAUACUGACAUUAGAUAAAAUACCUUGUGAAAUUUUCCCAGGUGCAUGUAUUUUCCAUUAAAAUACAUUGUUUAAAAGUCACACAGCAACAACAACAGACAUUUUAAACAAUCAUUACCCAAAUUGUUUUAGAUUCCUUAAAUAAUCCUCUUUUGAAUUUGUAUUUUAUCUGAUUUCCAUCUUCUAGCCUCUAUUACUAGCUAAUAAAAAUCUACAAUUUUCUUGGUAUUUUCACCUUUACAAAUAUGAAGAAUUCUUUUUAAUGGAAAUCCCUUCCUAAUUUCUCAGCUGGAUAGGAAGAAGAGGUGUCCAUCUUUGGUUUGUUUUGUAUUCUUCCACACAUCUCUCAUCUGGAGAUGAGAAGCAAGAAAGGCUAUCACUAGGGUCAAUGUACUGAGGUCCGUUCCUGUAGAAAGGAAAGGAUCCAAUAACCAGAGCCCUUUAAAAGUUUGCUUCUUUCCCCAUUUAAGCAGAAUGCUCUCUUUCUUCUUUUUGAAGAAAAAGUUUCCUGUCUCCUUUCCUUUAUUGUGCUUUAUUGGACAUGGCAGGCCUUAGAAUUGGCCUUUCUGGCACUUCAGAAAACAAGCGAAUGUAGAAAAAGAAAGUUUCUCCUGGGUGAGGAAGCUGAGAAUUCCAGACAAAAAGAAUGUAACAGCAGACAUCCUGCCAGUUCCUCUUUCAGUGAAGAACCACCCAAAGCUUGUGUCCCAUUGGUUGAGCCCCUUGAAACUGAACGACUUCCAGGAACACAAAAACAACAAACAGUCUAGUACAUCUGCAUUAUUUAAGGAAAUAUUUGCACGAUUGAUUGAUCAGUCACUACUAUCCUUUGCAGGCCCAAAACGCAGCAUUUUGUGGUUUGGGUGCAGACUUUAGAAUACUACAAAAAAAGUGUAAAUUGGAAAGUUUGCUUUCCCUUUUCCUCAGUAUAAAUAAUAUGAAAUCUGGCAAGUAAAAAUGCAAAGAAAAUUUAGAUUUCAUUCCUGUGGGUUUUCUUUAAAAUAUUGUAUCCCUAUCCUCAUUCCAAUCAAUAGAUUUCAGGUUAAACAAAAUUUGAAAUAUUAAACUCACCGAGCAAGAGAAAAAAGAGUGGAAUGAAGAAGGAUU